rnacentral:rRNA from 2 species
ACAACCUCAACUCAUAUGGGACUACCCCCUGAAUUUAAGCAUAUUAAUGAGGGGAGGAAAAGAAACUAAC